ACUGCGGUCCGCCCAGAUCUCUACCCAACAGGCUGAGGCGAGGCUCGCGGCCGAGGAGAGUUGCUUGUUCUUCUGAGACGAGCCAAGGCUGGAGGCCACGUCCCGUCGCUGUCACCUCCGCCCUCCUGACUCGGCGCCUCAUACCCCCUUCCCCCUCCCCACGAUAGACCUUGGGUGCUGUGGUGCCCGUGCCGGGCCAGCCCUGCCCUUGUAUCCCUCCGCCGUUCCCCUGCACGCGGCCAGGGGCGCCCCGCCUCUCUUCCUUCGCCGGGCGGCUGCUUGGCGAUGCUAGUCAUGAUCCGAGGGGCUCCAGGGGGCCUUACUCAUGUUACUGAUGUUUUGCCGCACUUGAGAGAGGUAUAAUAUACUCAAAGCUAGGCUGAAAAAAACCAGCCUAGUAAGGAAGAUACAGACAACAAAGGCAUGGUAGAAACUACACAUGUAACAGCUGAUGAGAGGAAAGCAGAACACAUACAGUUGAACCACUUGAGAAGUAAAGUGCCACUCGAACUGAUUAAGGGGCCAGUGACAGCAAAUCAGCGCAUUGAAAGUGUGAAGAGUAAAUGGGUUCAGAUAAGCUACAAAUUUCUGGGAAAUUCAGUUUUAUUGUUCAAAUAGUUAUUUCAGUUUUUCUCAUAUC